CCAGACGGUCGGAUGGCUGCGCGCGGACAAUGGGGAAACCCGUCCGCGUGAGGAAAGUCCGGGCUCCACGGGAAUACGGUGCCGGUUAACGACCGGCGGGGGUGACCCUAGGGAAAGUGCCACAGAAAGCAAACCGCCCGCCGCUCCGGCAACGGGGCGGCAGGUAAGGGUGAAAGGGUGCGGUAAGAGCGCACCGCGCGGCCGGUAACGGCGGCGGCAUGGUAAACCCCACCGGGAGCAAGACCGAGUAGGGGCGGCAUACGGCGAAUUUCCGCGUCGCCGCCCGGGUGGGUCGCGCGAGGCGUUCGGCGACGGACGUCCCAGAUGAAUGGCCAUCUCCCGCCUUUGCUUCGGCGAAUGCGGGGACAGAACCCGGCUUACAGACCGUCUGGCCUU
rnacentral:RNase_P_RNA from 1 species